UAAGACUUGUGAAAGUCUAAUUCACAUCUCAUGAAUGCAACUCAAGCACUUUUAUUAAGCUAAAGCCUUU
rnacentral:tRNA from 1 species